CACUUGGAAACGGGUGCUAAUACCGUAUAACAAUCUAAACCGCAAGGUUUUGAUUUGAAAGGCGCUUUCGGGUGUCGCUGAUGGAUGGACCCGCGGUGCAAUAGCUAGUUGGUGAGGUAACGGCUCACCAAGGCCACGAUGCAUAGCCGACCUGAGAGGGUGAUCGGCCACAUUGGGACUGAGACACGGCCCAAACUCCUACGGGAGGCAACAGUAGGGAAUCUUCGGCAAUGGACGAAAGUCUGACCGAACAACGCCCCGUGAGUGAAGAAGGUUUUCGGAUCGUAAAACUCUGUUGUUAGAGAACAACAAGGAUGAGAGUAACUGUUCAUCCCUUGACGGUAUCUAACCAGAAAGCCACGGCUAACUACGUGCCAGCAGCCGCGGUAAUACGUAGGUGGCAAGCGUUGUCCGGAUUUAUUGGGCGUAAAGCGAGCGCAGGCGGUUUCUUAAGUCUGAUGUGAAAGCCCCCGGCUCAACCGGGGAGGGUCAUUGGAAACUGGGAGACUUGAAU
rnacentral:rRNA from 1 species